GACGAACGCUGGCGGUGUGCUUAACACAUGCAAGUGGUGCGACGAACCAGAGCUUGCUCUGGGGCAAAGCCGCGAACGGGUGAGUAACACGUGGGUAAUCUACCCCGAUGACCGGGACAACCCGAGGAAACUCGGGCUAAUACCGGAUGUGGUACGGAGACAUAAGUCUCUUUACUAAAGGUAGCUUCGGCUUCCGCAUUGGGAGGGGCCCGCGGCCCAUUAGCUAGUUGGUGGGGUCAAGGCCUACCAAGGCAACGAUGGGUAGCUGGUCUGAGAGGACGAUCAGCCACACUGGGACUGAGACACGGCCCAGACUCCUACGGAGGCAGCAGUGGGGAAUCUUGCGCAAUGCGCGAAAAGCGUGACGCAGCAACACCGCGUGAGGG
rnacentral:rRNA from 1 species